CCUGCCCUCCGCCACCUACCUACCUCUUCCUCGGGAUCCCUCCCGAUCUCUCUCCCAACCAACCGGCUGCCACUAUCUCCCUCAUCUUGCAUUCCCGACCAACCCACACACCUCGCCUGGUCUUCCCUGCCUCGGCUGUGUGACCCCGACGGGCCACCCGAACCUGCUGGAGUCGUCGUCGCCGGCAGAAAGCCAGCAGCGCCCGGAUCCAGGCUGCAACAAGCGGAGCCUCGACGCUCGUCCGCCAGAGCAUGCCCCGCCUUGACCUCGGCGGUGACCAUCGGCGCUGCAACACAACGAUAGGAGUUCCAUCCCCGAACGCCAUGGCCGCCUACGACCUGAACUCCUCCUUCACCCGCGAGUCGCCAAGGAUCAGUGCAUGCCACCUCCGCUCCUCCUCACCUUGUCCGCGUCGCCGGGAUCGCGUCAAGUCCGCCACCGUCGUCCUCUCUCGGGAACGAGCUCUAUGCAUGCGUCCUGUGCUGCCUCCUCGAACGAGCAGACGCGCUGUCACGCCCUCUGCCAUGGAGCUCGCCUCCAUCGUCAGCAGCAGCACCUGAGCUCCUCCGCCCUGCCGUACUCUGCCAUGGUUGGCCUCGUCACCGCGCCGCUCCCGCGACAACCAGCGGCGCCCUGCCUUGUCGCCGUCGGCAAGCCCCUCGGGAAGCUUCCGGUGGAGCAGCUCGCUGCCGGGAUACCCCUCCUCGACCUGCAUUGCGCCCGGUUCCUCGCUCGCCGUCCUUCGCCGCCUAGAGCUUCUUCACUCGGAGACCUCCUUCGUCUCGUCCGCGUCGCUGGCGCCCAUCCCCAAGUCCCUCGGCAGCCUCUGUUUUCCCCUGCCAUCACACCUUCAUUCUGUCUCUGAUGAAGGAGACGACUAGCAGCCAAGUCCAGCGCCUGCGUUGACCGCGCCCCCUCCAUCUCCUCGUUCGAUCCACCAAGGCCCACACCAACACCGCCUCUGCAGCCUGCUCCACUGACCGGGCCAGGCCCAACGUGAGCAUCCGCCCAGCCCCUGAACCGUGCACUGUUGGGCCAGCCAGAACCGGCCCAGUGUAUUUUUUUCCUGCCAGCGAAUUUACCUAUUAUUCCAGAGAACACCAGUUUGCAGAAAAGUCCCUCUAGAUCAUGCAUUUCAUAUCUCACAAACUAUGCCUCAUAUGUAAAAACUUUAAAUAUGAAAAGUGCUUAGAAUUUCAUCUAGUUUCAUAAUAUGCUGCUUUCAUGCAUGUUU